rnacentral:rRNA from 1 species
UCGGCAGAUUUAGCUGGUUUCUAGUGGCGGACGGGUGAGUAACGCGUGGGUAACCUGCCUUAUACAGGGGGAUAACAACCAGAAAUGGUUGCUAAUACCGCAUAAGCGCACAGGACCGCAUGGUCCGGUGUGAAAAACUCCGGUGGUAUAAGAUGGACCCGCGUUGGAUUAGCUAGUUGGCAGGGUAACGGCCUACCAAGGCGACGAUCCAUAGCCGGCCUGAGAGGGUGAACGGCCACAUUGGGACUGAGACACGGCCCAGACUCCUACGGGAGGCAGCAGUGGGGAAUAUUGCACAAUGGGGGAAACCCUGAUGCAGCGACGCCGCGUGAAGGAAGAAGUAUCUCGGUAUGUAAACUUCUAUCAGCAGGGAAGAUAGUGACGGUACCUGACUAAGAAGCCCCGGCUAACUACGUGCCAGCAGCCGCGGUAAUACGUAGGGGGCAAGCGUUAUCCGGAUUUACUGGGUGUAAAGGGAGCGUAGACGGACUGGCAAGUCUGAUGUGAAAGGCGGGGGCUCAACCCCUGGACUGCAUUGGAAACUGUUAGUCUUGAGUGCCGGAGAGGUAAGCGGAAUUCCUAGUGUAGCGGUGAAAUGCGUAGAUAUUGGGAGGAACACCAGUGGCGAAGGCGGCUUACUGGACG